UGGGUUUUAGGAAAACCAUGGUUUUUAGGCACAUUGACCAAUCACAGAUCAGUAUUUCGGUACAUUGCUGAGCAAGUGCAUAGACGACGAUAAAUCAGCUUUGCACGAAAUGAAGAGGAGCGAAGCACUUAAUAUCGGUAUUUGCCGAGCUGUGAGAACAUCUAAAUUUUUGAAUGGGUGAAAACAUCUUACAAGUUAACAUGCACAGGCUGUCCUGAGAGACUAUUAAAGGAGGAUUGUAAGAGAGGAAUAUGCCAACAAGAACUGCAAUGAGGAGUCGUUGACAGGAGGAAACUUUUUAAAAGAGACCACACACUACCUCAUCAACAUGCUUGAAGAUGAUCUGAGCCUGAAGAGGGACAAAGGGCCUAGUGAUAAGACUACCUUUCUGCAAGUAUUGACAAUUCUGCUUUUGUAUGGUGAUAAUUUCAGGGAAUACGUGGUGAUGAGGCAUCAGUGUUGCAAUUAUCUGUGAGUGAUCAAAGAUGUUUCACAAGCCAUAGCAAGAAAAAAGAGGUUUUGUGAGAACUUCAACAACCAGAGAUGAGAUUGAGACUACCCAACAACAACUGUGUGAGUGAUCGAUUGGACCCAUGUCUAUACAAGAAUUCCUGGAGGGAAACAAGCCUUGUACUUUCCUGAAGGGCAAGUCCACCCCAACAAAAAGUUUCUUUGAUAUAAUACAGAAAAUUCCAAUGAGCAUAACACUAAACAUUUCAUCAAAAUUUGAUGUAAAAUGAGAAAGUGUUGACAUUUUGAAGUUUUGCUUAUUUUCACAAAACAGACAUCCUGGUCAGUAUGCAAAUGAGUGACAAAGUGACGUUCUCCACUCAGUGUUUCUUUUUGUAAUAUACUAGUAUCAUGAUUUUUUUCCCUCAUAAUGUGUAUAAAGUACAGGUGAGAUAUGGUUUGAUUUCUCCCUGAAACUUUUGUAAAAAGCCAUUGUGGCAACCUAUACUCAAUUCGAUGAAGAGUUUUCUCAUAAUUGU
rnacentral:lncRNA from 1 species